ensembl:lncRNA
CUCACAUAACUGGAAGUCCAGAGACUGAGCAGGUUUUGAGGUUGGUUUAAGUAACUCCAGCUCCUGUUUCCUCAUUUCCCCUGGCUAUGAUCAUCUCUGAGUAUUGCCUCACUGUCAGUCAUAGUAUCACUUUUGAUGACAAAACAAUGGCAAGAAUUUACAAGCUUCACAUCCGUGUCUCACAAUGUUGAGAAGAAGAAAGAGUGUGUCUUCAGUUUCUGAUGGGAGAUUUAAACAUCAGGCUUCAGUAAAAAUGGAACCAGGAAGCUUUGAGCAUCUAUACCCACUGCUCACACAGGGAAUGUUUGGGACUGCAGCCAUCGGUGCUAAGGAAUAAAGAAGAAGGAGAAUAAAAGAUGCCUAGUUCCUUAGAGCAAGCCUUGGAUUACUUACCUCUUGGAUUCUUAUUGCUUUAGAAACAGACAAGGAUUUAAGAGGAUGUGGUUUAUGUGGGAUCCCGAAUAACACUGCUGAGUGGGGAAGAGAAGCAAGGGAGAGGAAGCACCAAGACAACGUGAAUCAUUAAACCAGUCACCACUCUGAACAACCGAGACUUGAUCCACGCUGGGAACUCGGAAUCCAGCAGAGAACAGACCCCAGAGCUAACUCUCUGCAGAUGAAGGGAAUGGAAUAUUGCUCCACUAGUCCCCACCAAUCAUUUUUUUGAAACUAACAUCACCGGUUUUCACUUGCAUCCUUUUUCUGUUCCAGCAUUCAAUUUAAGACCCCAUAUCGCAUUUAGUCAUCAUGUCUCCUUAACCUCUUCUUACCUG